CUUAUUUCCAAGACGUCGUUGACAGCGUGGUUAAAAUCAUCGUCUCAGAAACGGAAAAAAAGUGAAAAAUAUACAAGACUAACGAUGCCUCCAGCAGAAGCCACAACAGGCAAAGUGAGAGGAACACAGAGAGGUUCAUGGCAAUAGUCCGACAGCGAUUACUCAUCGCUUUCUCCAUGACUUGGACAAGGGUUUGCUUCACAGAAGCAGACGACUUUUCCAGGUAGAGGAAGAUAGUUUCAGAGUUUUCUUUUUCCUUCAAGUGAUCUUCGAUUACACGAAGUAUGCU